UGGGGAAUAUUGGACAAUGGGGGGAACCCUGAUCCAGCAAUGCCGCGUGUGUGAAGAAGGCCUUCGGGUUGUAAAAUCCUUUCGUUGGGGACGAUAAUGACGGUACCCAAAGAAGAAGCUCCGGCUAACUUCGUGCCAGCAGCCGCGGUAAUACGAAGGGGGCUAGCGUUGUUCGGAAUUACUGGGCGUAAAGCGCGCGUAGGCGGUCGUAUAAGUCGGAUGUGAAAGCCCUUGGCUCAACCAAGGAACUGCGUCCGAUACUGUACGGCUUGAGGCUGGUAGGGGGUAGCGGAAUUCCCGGUGUAGCGGUGGAAUGCGUAGAUAUCGGGAGGAACACCGAUGGCGAAAGCGGCUACCUGGGCCAGAUCUGACGCUGAGGCGCGAAAGCUAGGGGAGCAAACAGGAUUAGAUACCCACGUAGUCCCUGAGCGGGCUGGCAAGGCGCAU
rnacentral:rRNA from 1 species